rnacentral:rRNA from 1 species
GGAGGAUCCAAGCGUUAUCCGGAUUUAUUGGGUUUAAAGGGUGCGUAGGCGGCCUGUUAAGUCAGGGGUGAAAGACGGUAGCUCAACUAUCGCAGUGCCCUUGAUACUGAUGGACUUGAAUGGACUAGAGGUAGGCGGAAUGAGACAAGUAGCGGUGAAAUGCAUAGAUAUGUCUCAGAACACCGAUUGCGAAGGCAGCUUACUAUGGUCUUAUUGACGCUGAGGCACGAAAGCGUGGGGAUCAAACAGGAUUAGAUACCCUGGUAGUCCACGCCCUAAACGAUGAACACUCGCUGUUGGCGAUACACAGUCAGCGGCUAAGCGAAAGCGUUAAGUGUUCCACCUGGGGAGUACGCUCGCAAGAGUG